rnacentral:lncRNA from 1 species
CAUAUAACAAUUCAGAGAGUUUCAAAACAGUAGAAAAUGAAACAAGGGGCUAAGCUGGGCUAAAUUUAUCUCACUACAAUCCAAGUCCCGCAACAGGCUCUAUUGAUACCAAAAGAAAACAUGCUUCUCAGUCUCCAUACCCAUCUUCAGGGGAAAAAGCAUCGCAGCCUGUCGGUGAAUACACCCCAAAGGACGCAUUUAACUUUGACGUUGACGGGACAGAACGAUGAUCAGAAGCUCCAUCACCCCAGCAUAAUUUCUUAUGCUGUGACUCAGUUCUCAGAGGGAAAGAACAACAAUAGAGGACACUACAUGCUAUUUCCUAAUCUGCCAGACCAACUACUCCAGUGAGACAACUGAUAAAAUUCUUCAACACAAUCUCUAUCAAACAAGCUCAAGGCAAGUAUCUCUCCAAAAAGAGUAUCUGCAGAUCAAUUCGACUCCCGACAAAAAACUCCCAAGUCCUAGAAUUCCAACUCAGC